UACGAAGGGAGCUAGCGUUGUUCGGAAUCACUGGGCGUAAAGCGCACGCAGGCGGAUCGUUAAGUCAGGGGUGAAAUCCCGAGGCUCAACCUCGGAACUGCCUUUGAUACUGGCGAUCUUUGAGUCCGGGAGAGGUGAGUGGAACUCCGAGUGUAGAGGUGAAAUUCGUAGAUAUUCGGAAGAACACCAGUGGCGAAGGCGGCUCACUGGACUGGUAUUGACGCUGAGGUGCGAAAGCGUGGGGAGCAAACAGG
rnacentral:rRNA from 1 species